AUGCUGUCUUUAAAGGGACCAAAGUCUCUCUAAUACCAAGAGAUCAAACACCUUCCAAGCCCUCCAUCUCCAUUAUGAAGUCAGAAAAUGAGAGCAUUGCUGCCUGCCUGGCGAAAGAUUUCUACCCUAAAGAACUGAAGAUAUUCAUGAAUUCUAACAGUGAAAUUAUAUAUGAAGCAACAGACCCGAUCCUCACAUCUAGUGGGAAAUACAGUGCUGUCAAAAUUGUCAAGUUCUCUUCAAAUGAACUAGUGUCUUGCUACGUUCAACAUAACGGCAAAAUUAUUAAGAAAACCCAAACAGCUGAGAAGCCGCCAGAUUUCACAUCUCCUGCUCCAACGAUCAUUGUGCCCGAGCCGUGCAACAUUUCAACCCCCAGCCUCGAAGAUUUCACAUCUCCUGCUCCAACAAUCAUCGUGUCCAAGCCGUGCAACAUUUCAACCCCCAGCCUCGAAGAUACGUAUGAGGAGAAAAGCAUGCAGACACUAUCCGCUGCCCUGCUGGGUUUGGAAAUUGUGCUUGCAAAGAGCAUCGUCUUUAAUGUGCUCAUGAUUGCAAGAUUAGUCUUUGAGGUUUGCAAGAAGGAGUGAGGAAGGACCUGAGAAAUAAAGCAAAAUUUCUGUCAACUUUGUUUAUAUUAAUUAUAUACACUGCUUUUGAUACUGAGAAUUAGUCUGCAUUUAUUGUUGCUAUGAAUAGAUUUUUAACAAGCUAAUUUUGGUAACUGCUUAAAGAAUUGUAAAGUUACAAUAGUGACUUCAGAGUUAAGACUGGAGGAGAUUUUCUAUUUUAAACUUUAUUUUGUAUUCCCUCAAAACUUUCCCUGCCCCUUGAAAAAAAAUCCUAUCUUUAGUGCAAACCUACCAUGUUUCUUAGGCUAGAAUAGGAUGUUUGCCAACUAAAUUAUACUGAUUGUACAAGAAUUUUUGAAAGAGUAGACUUUGAAAGAUGAUGGGCUUUUUAAAAAUGUCAUCUAACUUUUUUGAAUUCAUGUAUUUUCCUUUCCAAUUUUUAUAUGG